rnacentral:lncRNA from 1 species
GACGCUCAGGUUGAGUGAUUUAUUUUGUUACUAAGGUGAUGACAUUUAUGCAUGCAAUUGGUGGCAUGGACCUAGUCGCGAGUACGUCACGAUAGUUUCUUGCAAAGGCAACAUGAUUCAGAAAAAUACUCAACGGUGAGGUACUGAAUAUGAAACCCUGUAGAGAAUUUGUCCAAUGGUGGGACAAGUCCAACGGUGGUAUAUUGUGCAAUAGUGGGACUAUUUACUCUACAUGGUGGUGAUAUUCCAAAAUCAUACAUUGACAUAUAGUAUAACAAAUAGGAUUUGUGCACUUUUGUUGAUUUGUAUCUUUGGUGCUUUGUGAUUUUAACUGUUAAAUGAAGUAAAUGAUUUAUUUAUAUUUUUGCUAUAACAACUAUAUAUGCAUGCUUAUUUGCUCUGUGGAGAUGACCCUUACAUUUGACAGGACGUCACAUAUAGUGUUACUUGAGCGAAUAAUGUCGCAGACCAACCUAGUAGGAGAAACGCGAUGAAGUACAAUACCAUGCCGUUGGAGGCUCCGAGAUACUUUUGUACUGGUGUUAGACUUUUUGGGUGAGUUUUCGACAAGCGUCCUAAGUUAUGACCAACUAGGAUUUAUUUUUGGGUAGUAAAACACCAAGUGUUCUGGCUUUAGGAGUUUCUUUUGUUUAACAUAUUAACUUAUUUUGUAAUUGCAAAUACUCUGAUUCAUUAUUUUUGAAAUAGAAUUGAAAGAGUUAUUAGUUGAUUUUAAAGUAAAC